rnacentral:rRNA from 1 species
GGAGGACCAUCUCCCAAGGCUAAAUACUCCCUAGUGACCGAUAGUGAACCAGUACCGUGAGGGAAAGGUGAAAAGCACCCCGGAAGGGGAGUGAAACAGUUCCUGAAACCGUGUGCCUACAAGUAGUUAGAGCCCGUUAAUGGGUGAUAGCGUGCCUUUUGUAGAAUGAACCGGCGAGUUACGAUUUGUUGCAAGGUUAAGCGGAAAAAGCGGAGCCGUAGCGAAAGCGAGUCUGAAUAGGGCGCAUAAGUAACAGGUCGUAGACCCGAAACCAGGUGAUCUACCCAUGUCCAGGAUGAAGGUAAGGUAAUACUUACUGGAGGUCCGAACCCACGCACGUUGAAAAGUGCGGGGAUGAGGUGUGGGUAGCGGAGAAAUUCCAAUCGAACUUGGAGAUAGCUGGUUCUCUCCGAAAUAGCUUUAGGGCUAGCCUCGAGGUAAAGAGUCAUGGAGGUAGAGCACUGUUUGGACUAGGGGCCCUUCUCGGGUUACCGAAUUCAGAUAAACUCCGAAUGCCAUGUACUUAUACUCGGGAGUCAGACUGCGAGUGAUAAGAUCCGUAGUCGAAAGGGAAACAGCCCAGACCACCAGUUAAGGUCCCCAAAUAUAUGUUAAGUGGAAAAGGAUGUGGGGUUGCUUAGACAACCAGGAUGUUGGCUUAGAAGCAGCCACCAUUGAAAGAGUGCGUAAUAGCUCACUGGUCGAGUGACCCCGCGCCGAAAAUGUACCGGGGCUAAACAUAUUACCGAAACUGUGGAUGAACCUCUUUAGAGGUUCGUGGUAGGAGAGCGUUCUAAGGGCGGUGAAGUCAGACCGGAAGGACUGGUGGAGCGCUUAGAAGUGAGAAUGCCGGUAUGAGUAGCGAAAGAAGGGUGAGAAUCCCUUCCACCGAAUAUCUAAGGU